rnacentral:rRNA from 1 species
UACGAAGGGUGCAAGCGUUACUCGGAAUUACUGGGCGUAAAGCGUGCGUAGGUGGUUCGUUAAGUCGGAUGUGAAAGCCCUCGGCUCAACUGAGGAAGUGCACCCGAAACUGGCGAGCUUGAGUACGAAAGAGGAUCGCGGAAUUCCCGGUGUAGAGGUGAAAUUCGUAGAUAUCGGGAGGAACACCGGUGGCGAAGGCGGCGAUCUGGGUCGAUACUGACGCUGAGGUGCGAAAGCGUGGGGAGCAAACAGG